rnacentral:tRNA from 1 species
GCCGAUGUGGUGGAAUUGGUAGACACGCUGGAUUCAAAAUCCAGUUCCGGAAGGAGUGACGGUUCGACCCCGUCCAUCGGUACCA